rnacentral:rRNA from 1 species
GACGAACCGUGCAAGCGUUAUUCGGAAUCACUGGGCCUAAAGGGCGCGUAGGCGGCUUUCUAAGUCAGGGGUGAAAUCCGGCAGCUCAACUGUCGCAGUGCCUUUGAUACUGGAGAGCUCGAGGGUGGUAGGGGUCUGUGGAACUUCCGGUGGAGCGGUGAAAUGCGUAGAGAUCCGGAGGAACCCCAGAGGCGAAGGCGGCCCCCUGGCUCGUACCUGACGCUCAGCCACGAAAGCAUGGGGAGCGAACGGG